UGUCAAUUAAUAUCUAAACGCUUUAUGCUGCCACGACGUCGGUAUUAAUGUUCUUUUGUUGCACACGCGUUUUCCUACGUUAAUCAGAUCCGACAGAUUGGAUUUAUGUCGGAAUCAUUUGAAACGUUCAUCUAUCGUUAGAAAAUACACGUGUUCUCUAACAAUUCAGAACCUGCCGACAUUGGAGCAGCAUCCCGUUUCAAUUAGACUAAUUAACAUUAAUAUUUAAGCGUUAUAAAUGAAUUACAAUCAGAUUAUACCGAGCGCUGACAUAUCUCGCAUUCAUUCGAGUAUCGCAUCGUCGUGGACGUCGGAAUAAUGUAUAGGUAUGUAAUCUUGGAUUUUAAUAUUGACUCGUUUCUAUGAUAACUAUAAAAUUAUGAU